UAACCUUCGGGAGGGCGCUUACCACUUUGUGAUUCAUGACUGGGGUGAAGUCGUAACAAGGUAACCGUAGGGGAACCUGCGGUUGGAUCACCUCCUUACCUUAAAGAAGC
rnacentral:rRNA from 4 species